UCGACCGGCGCACGGUGCGUAACGCGUAUGCAACCUACCUUUAACAGGGGAGUAACACUGAGAAAUUGGUACUAAUACCCCAUAAUAUCAUAGAAGGCAUCUUUUUAUGGUUGAAAAUUCCGAUGGUUAGAGAUGGGCAUGCGUUGUAUUAGCUAGUUGGUGGGGUAACGGCUCACCAAGGCGACGAUACAUAGGGGGACUGAGAGGUUAACCCCCCACACUGGUACUGAGACACGGACCAG
rnacentral:rRNA from 1 species